UACGUAGGGUGCAAGCGUUUGUCCGGAAUUAUUGGGCGUAAAGGGCUCGUAGGCGGUUUGUCGCGUCGGAAGUGAAAACACGGGGCUUAACUCUGUGCUUGCUUUCGAUACGGGCAGACUAGAGGGAUGCAGGGGAGAACGGAAUUCCUGGUGUAGCGGUGAAAUGCGCAGAUAUCAGGAGGAACACCGGUGGCGAAGGCGGUUCUCUGGGCAUUCCCUGACGCUGAGGAGCGAAAGUGUGGGGAGCGAACAGG
rnacentral:rRNA from 1 species